rnacentral:lncRNA from 1 species
GCUCUUUCUUCUGUGAAUCAGUUCUAGGUGGCCAGCACCCUCAGCAACUACAAGCACUGCAUGCCCAUUUUCUUUCAGUCGUUGGUCAAGAAAUUCAAAGAGUCCUCCUUUUCCUUCCAAGUAAACUUUAAAUACGUAAAACAUUUUUCUUCAUUUGCAUGCGUGCGUGCGUGAUGAAUGAAAGUGUUUUACUUAUCUUUUUUUAUUUUUUUUUUGUAAUUAAACGUUGUAAUAAAACAUUUGAACUAUGUAUGACACGAAGUGUAGUUCCCUAAAAUAAUGUUUAGUCUUGUGGAAAAUCGCUUUUAAUGGAGAAACUGUUUGAGUCGAGGAAUUGAACUAGUUAUGUCAUGAUUUGGGUCAGUUCAGGACUGAAUUUUAUUUUCAUUAUAUUGGGCAUGACAUUGAAUACCUUGACACCUUUUCGAACAUUAUGCAUCUUUAAAGAGAAAAACUUUUGGAUACAAAAGAAAGUAAAGUAUAUCUUCAAUAGAAGGUACAUUUUUAUAUCUUAAAAUCAUAAAAAUAGAAACAAAAUAUCACUACUUCUAGUGAACAACUCCAACAAACAUACCUUCACUAUCCUUGUUUUCAUACAUAGGUGCAAAUGAGACCACUUUUUUUAUUUUUCUAGUGCACAAUUAAUUUAUCACUCGUUAAUUACAAAAAAAAAAAAAUAUAUGUAUAACAUUUUCCUUCAUGUGCGUGCGUGCGUCUUAUGAAGGAAAAUUUAUUUAUUUAUUUUUUUGUAAUUAAAUGUUAUAAUAAAAUAGGAAAAUUGUUUUUAAAAAUAAGAAAUUUGUUUUUAAAAAUAGAAAUUGUAUUUUUCAAAUUUGGAAUAAUAUUAAAAUGCAAUUAAUCCACAUAGAUUUUGACACAUUGUUGAAAAAAAUGACAUUUCGUUAAGUUUUGGAUUAAAACUAUGUUUGGGAUCAAAACUGAUGACAAAUAAAAUGGAUGGACUAUUUUUGUGAUUUAAACUAAAAUAGGUGGACAAAAAAUGUAAUUAAGCCUAAAAAUAAUUGAAGGUUUUAUGGAAGGCGAGUCAAUCUUCUUUUUGGAGUCAGACUCAGCCUUCUCAACCUUCAUUUUGGACUCGACCUCAGUCUUAACCUUCUUUUUGGAGUCAGACUCAACCUUCUCAGCCUUCUUCUUUUUGGAGUCAACUUAAACUUCUCAUCCUUCUUUUUUGAGUCAUUUGAAGACACUAUGAUUUGUAAGUUUUUUGAACAUUCAAAAUUUAAGUUAGUGUCUCUCUAACAAUUGCAUGACAUGUUAAUAAUGAUUGCAUGACUGUGACCAAAGAUAUCGGCACACAUUGAUAAUGACUGUCUUGACUAUUUGAAUGACAAUGAAUUUUAAAAUUUUAUCAACGUUUUUAUUUUCUCAAAUGCUUUUUCUCUAUCAAUUAACUUAUUCUCUAUAAAAUAUUCUCUACUUUUUACCAAACGGAUUGUGAGCAUAAUGUUUACUUAUUCAACUAAAAAUCUAAUUGAAAAUAUGAUAAAUAAAAAACUCAAAGUUUUGCAUGACUUUUGUACAUUACUAAUAAUUCCUUCAAAAACAAAAUGGCUACAUUACUAAUAGAUCAAUGCUUACAAAUAAAACCUAUAUACAGAGCCCUAUCAACUCUUACAAAUAUUGGUAACGUUGUUUGAAAAUUAAAGACCUAUACGAGAGUGACAUUACAAUUGUAUGUCAGAUUCCACAUAAGUUUAACAUUGUUCUAUCCUUUUAUAUUCCCUUGUACCAUUAGAUUUUUCAUUCUAUAAUACUUGGAACUUGGAAGGACUUGCAUUAAACCGACCACCACUAUAAGAAUCUAUGUUGUCAUAAAAUAAAACAAAAGAAUCUAUACAGCGAACUGAACAAAGAUUCUGCUAAUUAGUUUAUGGGAGUUCAUUUAUUGAUAAUCAUAAAACUUUAUGUUACAAAGUAUGUAAAAAAUAUGCAAAUUCAUACAUCAUUUGUUGUUAAGUACAUCCAUCUUUUACCAAGACUCUUCAGCGCCUACUAAGAACAUUAGAGUAUUAAAUUAAACAUAAACUGCUGACAUCAGAACAUGAAAACCACUUAUGCAUAAGAUCUCCCUUCAGAGUUUGUGUUCCAAGAAUGCUCUCUGAAAACGGCCGGAACGUCUAGCUCCUUAGAAAAUCAGGCUGAUUGGUGACAGAUCUCACCCAAGACCAUUUAUGAUCUUUUGUAUUAACUGGGUUAUUUGCACAUGCAACAUCUUCCAGUGGAAUGUAUGCAUAGUCUCCAUUAAUAGGACCCACAACAAAUCCAGUAUACCCUGCCAUAGCACCAUGAAUUGCAGAGUGCGCCAAGAGUGUACAAUACAAAUUAUCAGUAGCAUUUGCAUGGACGGCACGAAUCAUGUAUGUAGGAUCUAUGUACUUGACUGUAAAUAGCUCACCAGGGUGGUCCCUGUCCCACCACUUCUUCAGCUCUGACUUUAACCACACUCCAACAUCUAAGAAAACUGGAUUACCAGAUUCAUCUCGCUCUUCCUUCUGUGAAUCAGUUCUAGGUAUUAUAUCCUGGCCAGCACCCUCAGCAACUACAAGCACUGCAUGCCCAUUUUCUUUCAGUCGUUGGUCAAGAAAUUCAAAGAGUCCUCCUUUUCCUUCCAAGUAAAAAUCUAGCUCCGGGAUUAGGCAGCAAUCAACAUCACGGCUGCUGAGUGUUGCAUGAAGAGCAAUGUGACCUGUGCUUCGACCCAUCAACUUCACAAGGCCUAUACCGUUAACUGCACUUUCGGC